CUGCAGCCUGAUAUUGAAUGUUGGUACAGCUUGUACAGGAUAGGUAGGAGCCUUGGAAACCGGAGCGCCAGCUUCGGUGGAGGCAUCGGUGGGAUACUACCCUGGCUGUAUUGACCUUCUAACCCGCGCCCUUAUCGGGCGGGGAGACAGUGUCAGGUGGGCAGUUUGACUGGGGCGGUCGCCUCCUAAAAGGUAACGGAGGCGCCCAAAGGUUCCCUCAGAAUGGUUGGAAAUCAUUCGCAGAGUGUAAAGGCACAAGGGAGCUUGACUGCGAGACCUACAAGUCGAGCAGGGACGAAAGUCG
rnacentral:rRNA from 2 species